AUUGAACGCUGGCGGCAGGCUUAACACAUGCAAGUCGAGCGGGGGAAGGUAGCUUGCUACCGGACCUAGCGGCGGACGGGUGAGUAAUGCUUAGGAAUCUGCCUAUUAGUGGGGGACAACAUCUCGAAAGGGAUGCUAAUACCGCAUACGUCCUACGGGAGAAAGCAGGGGAUCUUCGGACCUUGCGCUAAUAGAUGAGCCUAAGUCGGAUUAGCUAGUUGGUGGGGUAACGGCCUACCAAGGCGACGAUCUGUAGCGGGUCUGAGAGGAUGAUCCGCCACACUGGGACUGAGACACGGCCCAGACUCCUACGGGAGGCAGCAGUGGGGAAUAUUGGACAAUGGGCGCAAGCCUGAUCCAGCCAUGCCGCGUGUGUGAAGAAGGCCUUAUGGUUGUAAAGCACUUUAAGCGAGGAGGAGGCUACUUUAGAUAAUACCUAGAGAUAGUGGACGUUACUCGCAGAAUAAGCACCGGCUAACUCUGUGCCAGCAGCCGCGGUAA
rnacentral:rRNA from 1 species